UGAAUAGUUACAGGUAUAUACAUAUUGAAUAGUUACAGGUAUAUACAUAUUGAAUAGUUACAGGUAUAUACGUAUUGAAUAGUUACAGGUAUAUACGUAUUGAAUAGUUACAGGUAUAUACAUAUUGAAUAGUUACAGGUAUAUACAUAUU